GACGAACGCUGGCGGCGUGCCUAAUACAUGCCAGUAGAACGCUGAAGAGAGGAGCUUGCUCUUCUUGGAUGAGUUGCGAACGGGUGAGUAACGCGUAGGUAACCUGCCUUGUAGCGGGGGAUAACUAUUGGAAACGAUAGCUAAUACCGCAUAACAAUGGAUGACACAUGUCAUUUAUUUGAAAGGGGCAAUUGCUCCACUACAAGAUGGACCUGCGUUGUAUUAGCUAGUAGGUGAGGUAAUGGCUCACCUAGGCGACGAUACAUAGCCGACCUGAGAGGGUGAUCGGCCACACUGGGACUGAGACACGGCACAGACUCCCACGGGAGGCAGCAGUAGGGAAUCUUCGGCAAUGGGGGCAACCCUGACCGAGCAACGCCGAGUGAGUGAAGAAGGGUUUCGGAUCGUAAAGCUCUGUUGUAAGUCAAGAACGGGUGUGAGAGUGGAAAGUUCACACUGUGACGGUAGCUUACCAGAAAGGGACGGCUAACUACGUG
rnacentral:rRNA from 1 species